UCCACACAUCAUCUCCGCUACGGUCUUGGCCUAAGCUUGCUUGCAUCUUGCAAAAAAUCACAUUUCAAAACCGCAAAACACAUCUUCUCUGCCUCAACAAAUCCGCCAUUUUGGAUUCAUUAUUAUUCGUUACCAGUCCUAAUAAAAUUGACCGAGCAAGAUCGAGAGAGAUAAUGGACCUUUCCACAAAAAAAUUGCAAUGCAUUGCAGGCGCUAGGGGCGCCC
rnacentral:lncRNA from 1 species